AAGACGCAGCAAAGGUCAACCAAGCAUUAGACGACGGCGGCUGAACGAGGCAUCACAUGUGUUCCGCGGUUGUGCGGUGUUCCAACACCGGGAAUUCCAGUUCUGCAAUGAUGUUCUGGUUUAUUAACGACAGCUGCUUGCAGAACUUCAGGGUCACCUGCGGGAAUGCCUCUUCAGAACCGAGACCUUCGUGUUGAUGCCUCGGUGUUGGUAGCAUCGCCGGCGCCUAGGCCUGGGAUCACCACUGGAUUAGUCAGCACUGUGCCGCUCACGACAGGGCGCACAGACCACUGCAAUUACGUAGCCUGUGACAAUGUGCGCUGAACUUCGAAGCAGCUGCCUUUGAAGAUAUGCCUGUAUUGUUCAAAUUCGUAGUAAACAUUAUUGUUUCUGUU